CAGAGGGUGCGAGCGUUGUCCGGAAUCACUGGGCGUAAAGGGCGCGUAGGCGGCCGAUCAAGUGUGUGGUGAAAGCCCCGGGGCUCAACCCCGGGUCGUGCCGUGCAAACUGGUUGGCUUGAGCACUGUAGAGGCAGGUGGAAUUCCGGGUGUAGCGGUGGAAUGCGUAGAGAUCCGGAAGAACACCGGUGGCGAAGGCGGCCUGCUGGGCAGUAGCUGACGCUGAGGCGCGACAGCGUGGGGAGCAAACAGGAUU
rnacentral:rRNA from 1 species